rnacentral:sRNA from 1 species
GGACUGGGAACAGACACGGAUGGCCAGA